CCAAUCGAACCCGGAGAUAGCUGGUUCUCCUCGAAAUAGCUUUAGGGCUAGCCUCAUGAGAGUCUUAUGGAGGUAGAGCACUGAAUUGCCUAGGGGGCGUCAAAGCUUACCAAAGCAUAUCAAACUCCGAAUGCCAUCAAGAUGAUUCAUGGGAGUCAGACCAUACGAGAUAAGUUGGAUGGUCAAAAGGGAAAGAGCCCAGACCUACAGCUAAGGUCCCAAAGUGCGUGUUAAGUGGAAAAGGAUGUGGGGAUUCUAAGACAACUAGGACGUUGGCUUAGAAGCAGCCAUUCAUUGAAAGAGUGCGUAAUAGCUCACUAGUCGAGAGUCCCUGCGCCGAAAAUGUCCGGGGCUGAAACACGACACCGAAGCUUAGGAAUGUGUAAACAUUGGUAGAGGAGCAUUGUUAGCGGGAUGAAGCCAUACCGUAAGGAGUGGUGGACUGCUAAGAAGAGAGAAUGCCGGAAUGAGUAGCGAGAUGAAGGUGAGAAUCCUUCAGGCCGAAUAUCUAAGGUUUCCAGAGUAAAGCUGAUCUGCUCUGGGUAAGUCGGGACCUAAGGCGAGGUCGAAAGACGUAGUCGAUGGAUAACAGGUUGAAAUUCCUGUACCGCAUAUAAACAGAACUGUGGGGACACAGACAGGGAAUGGAAUCCGGGAAUGGAUAUCCCGGUGCAAGCGAGGUAGGAGUGCUGUUGGCAAAUCCGCAGCACGAUCUGAAGACGUGACGCGUACCGAACAUAAGUAGGGAAGUCCAGGCCCCUGGCUGUCAAGAAAAGCCGCUAUUGUUUUAUAUGUGCCCGUACCGCAAACCGACACAGGUGGAUGAGGAGAGAAUCCUAAGGCCGACGGGAGAAGUAUUGUUAAGGAACUCGGCAAAAUGACUCCGUAACUUCGGGAGAAGGAGUGCCAUGAGAGUGGCCGCAGAGAAAUGGCCCAAGCAACUGUUUAGCAAAAACACAGGUCUAUGCAAAACCGCAAGGUGAAGUAUAUGGGCUGACGCCUGCCCGGUGCUGGAAGGUUAAGGGGAGAGGUUAGCGCAAGCGAAGCUUUGAACUUAAGCCCCAGUAAACGGCGGCCGUAACUAUAACGGUCCUAAGGUAGCGAAAUUCCUUGUCGGGUAAGUUCCGACCCGCACGAAAGGCGUAAUGAUUUGGGCACUGUCUCAACAAUGCACCCGGUGAAAUUGAAAUACCAGUGAAGAUGCUGGUUACCUGCGCCAGGACGGAAAGACCCCAUGGAGCUUUACUCCAGUUUGAUACUGGGAUUCGGCAUGGUAUGUACAGGAUAGGUGGGAGACUGAGAAGGUAUGACGUCAGUUGUACCGGAGUCGCUGUUGGGAUACCACCCUUACCAUGUUGGAUUUCUAACCUGUGGCCGUAAGCCGGUCAGGGGACAAUGUCAGGCGGGGAGUUUGACUGGGGCGGUCGCCUCCGAAAGGGUAUCGGAGGCGCUCAAAGGUUCCCUCAGAAUGGUUGGAAACCAUUCGAAGAGUGCAAAGGCAGAAGGGAGCUUGACUGCGACACCGACGG
rnacentral:rRNA from 1 species